UGCUACUGGGCAAAGCCUUCUGGGAAAUGUAGUCCGUUCCGUGGCGGUGGUUCUCAAAGGGUGCGGAGCGCCGCGCAGGUGCGGCAGGAGAGGAUGGCAGAAACUAGCGAUAAUAAAUGUGAUGGUUGGGAUAUCCUAUGCAGCACAAUCCAGUGCAUGUCUAUUCAGAGAUCUGGAGGUUCAGUAUUGUGGAAUACCUGGGAAGAAAAUGGUGAAAGUUGUGAGGUUGAGAUGCUCUGAACAAAAGGUUGGCACUACCUGAAGAUCCAACAGAGUUCCAAAGAACAUAAAACAUCUGUCAGAGAUGAACAGCGGGAACAAUAUCUGAGCAGAGCCACGAGGGGGAAGGCAAAUUCCUUUUUCAGGUGCUUUUUUUAGUUCUGUGAAAAACAAGGACCAAAAGCCGUGUGAAUCAAAGCUUCAUAAGCAAACCCCGAAGAGAUGGCAUGCCUCAAUAUUAGUUAGGAAUGAGAAUUUUGUAUUUCCCCACCAUAUUUCAAAAGUAU